ensembl:misc_RNA Metazoa_SRP Metazoan signal recognition particle RNA
GUUAGGUAUGGUGGCGCAUGCUUUCAAUCCCAGGUCCUAAUGGAAACUGAAGCUGGUUGGACCUCUUGAGCUUGGGAAUUCCGAGUUCCAGUGAGCUAAGCCAAUCAGGUGUCUGCACUAAGUCCUACACCAACAUGGUAAGCUCUGAGGAGUGGGUGGCUACCAGGCUGCCUAAGGAUGGGUAAACUAGUCCAGGCUGGAAAUAUAGCAGGUUGAAGCUCGCGUGCUAUUGAGUAAUGGCAUCAGACUUGUACAUGUCUCCUGUAUUCCCAGACUGGGCAAAAGAGGGAGACUCAAUCUUU